rnacentral:snoRNA from 1 species
UGGACCAAUGAUCAUAAUGUUUAUAAACCAAAGAGUGUGAUUAAUCCAAUUCUGUGCACCUGAGGUCCCCC